AUUUCAAUCGUUCCUUUGGAAAUUUUAGUGGGGAUGGACAGCGCUUGAAAGAAUGAGGUUUUCUCAGGACCAAGUCCUGUAUUCUGCGCUGGAAUAAUUACAUUGCAGGGAGCAAUUGCACCAUUACGAGCAGGAGCACGGACUUUGUUUUCAAGCAACUUAUCUCUGAUUUCAACCAAAUCCCCACGAGUGAAAACAAAACCGACAUUGCCUCUGAUGUGUGGUAACAACUUUUCUAAGGCAGGAUUACGUUCCAAAUGGCCACGAAUCGCCUUCCGCAUCAUGGUGUUUUUGCGGGCCGGCACGUUUACUUUGAACAAAUUAACGUGCUUAACGCAGGCCUUUGUCUGCCCGAAUACUCUUGCAUGGAAUAAUGGAAUAGGACCUCGGUUCUAUUUUGUUGGUUUUCGGAAGUCGAGGUAAUGAUUAAUGGGGAUUGCCGGGGGCAUCCGUAUUGCGACGUUAGAGGUGAAAUUCUUGGAUCGUCGCAAGACGAACCGGAGCGAAAGCGUUUGCCAAGUAUGUUUUCUUUAAUCAAGAACGAAAGUUAGAGGUUCGAAGGCGAUCAGAUACCGCCCUAGUUCUAACCAUAAACUAUGCCAACUAGCGAUCCGCUGUGUGUCUUAGAUGUCACGGCGGGCAGCCUCCGGGAAACCAAAGUCUUUGGGUUCCGGGGGAAGUAUGGUUGCAAAGCUGAAACUUAAAGGAAUUGACGGAAGGGCACCACCAGACGUGGAGCCUGCGGCUUAAUUUGACCCAACGCGGGGAACCUCAUCAGGCCAGGACACCGGAAGGAUUGACAGAUUGAGAGCUCUUUCUUGAUUCGGUGGGUGGUGGUGCAUGGCCGUUCUUAGUUCGUGGAGUGAUUUGUCUGCUUAAUUGCGAUAACGAACGAGAUCCUACCCUACUAACUAGUCGAAACCGGCAUCCCCUGUGCAGCCGGCGACCAACACUCUUCUUAGAGGGACAGGCGGCUUCCAGCCGCAGGAAGUGGGGCAAUAACAGGUCUGUAAUGCCCUUAGAUGUUCUGGGCAGCACGCGCGCUACACUGAAGGUAUCAACGUGUGUUUUCCUUGCUCGAGAGGGCCGGGUAACCCGUUGAAACUCCUUCGUGCUAGGGAUUGGGGCUUGCAAUUCUUCCCCACCAACGAGGAAUGCCUAGUAAGCGGGAAUCAUUACUUCCCGCUGAUUAAGUCCCUGCCCUUUGUACACACCGCCCGUCGCUACUACCGAUUGAAUAUUUUAGUGAGGUCUUCGGACCAGCCCGCGGACCCUUCCCAGGGGCCGUAGAGCCGGAAAGAUGACCGAACUUGAAUAUUUAGAGGAAGUAAAAGUCGUAACAAGGUUUCCGUAGGUGAACCUUCGGAAG
rnacentral:rRNA from 1 species